rnacentral:rRNA from 1 species
GAUGAACGCUGGCGGCGUGCCUAAUACAUGCAAGUCGAGCGAACAGAUGAGGAGCUUGCUCCUCUGACGUUAGCGGCGGACGGGUGAGUAACACGUGGAUAACCUACCUAUAAGACUGGGAUAACUUCGGGAAACCGGAGCUAAUACCGGAUAAUAUAUUGAACCGCAUGGUUCAAUAGUGAAAGACGGUUUUGCUGUCACUUCUAGAUGGAUCCGCGCCGCAUUAGCUAGUUGGUAAGGUAACGGGUUACCAAGGCAACGAUGCGUAGCCGACCUGAGAGGGUGAUCGGCCACACGAGAACGGAGACACGGUCCAGACUCCUACGGGAGGCAGCAGUAGGGAAUCUUCCGCAAUGGGCGAGAGCCUGACGGAGCAACGCCGCGUGAGUGAUGAAGGUCUUCGGAUCGUAAAACUCUGUUAUUAGGGAAGAACAAAUGUGUAAGUAACUAUGCACGGCUUGACGGUACCUAAUCAGAAAGCCACGGCUAACUACGUG